CUAAGAAAGAAAAACAAGAUCUAUCCUCCCAGGUUAACGCAUAUUUUUGAAAGGGACUUCAAGCCUGACAUCAACAUGAAAAUGCUGUCAACUGUCAUGGUAAUAUUUGCAGCACAAAUUAUCAUUGACAUGUGUGCAGCGAGGCGUAUAUGGCCACUCACUAUCGUAAACAACUAUACCUGUCAGUACGGAUAUUACGGCCUGCCUGAUGGUAUUUGCCUGGACUUGAAUCGCCCUUGCGUUAGCUUAUGCUGCAAAGCACCAAGUUCUCAACUUGCAAUUAGUGGGUGCCCUCUCCCGGAUGACUUCGAUAAUAAAACAUUGGAUGGAUACGGCUAUUGGCCCAAUUGCUGCGUUAAAAGAACCUUCUUACCACAACCACGACUACCUCCAGUUGCUUUAUACUAUGCUUACAACGGAACGUGGAGAUACCGCUACGAAAACGCUCCAACUGCUGAAUAAAGAUUUUUGAAUGAUAAAAAAA